rnacentral:rRNA from 1 species
UACGUAGGGGGCAAGCGUUGUCCGGAAUCAUUGGGCGUAAAGCGCGUGUAGGCGGCCAGGUAAGUCCGUUCUGAAAGCCCGGGGCUCAACCCCGGGAGGCGGAUGGAUACUGCUUGGCUCGAGUCCGGAAGAGGCGAGUGGAAUUCCCGGUGUAGCGGUGAAAUGCGCGAUAUCGGGAGGAACACCAAUGGCGAAGGCAGCUCGCUGGGACGGUACGUGACGCUGA